AUUGAACGCUGGCGGCAUGCUUUACACAUGCAAGUCGAACGGUAACAGGGAGCUUGCUCCGCUGACGAGUGGCGAACGGGUGAGUAAUGCAUCGGAACGUGCCCAAUCGUGGGGGGAUAACGUAGCGAAAGUUACGCUAAUACCGCAUAAGCCCUGAGGGGGAAAGUGGGGGACCGCAAGGCCUCACGCGAAUGGAGCGGCCGAUGUCAGAUUAGCUAGUUGGUGGGGUAAAGGCCCACCAGGGCGACGAUCUGUAGCGGGUCUGAGAGGAUGAUCCGCCACACUGGGACUGAGACACGGCCCAGACUCCUACGGGAGGCAGCAGUGGGGAAUUUUUGGACAAUGGCGGCAAGCCUGAUCAGCCAUGCCGCGUGCGGG
rnacentral:rRNA from 1 species